GUUCUUACCUGUCAGGGGAGACACCUUGAUCAGGCAGGUGGCUUUCCUGGGGCGAGGAUCAUCCCCUGCACUCCAGGUGUGUUGACCCCUGCAAUUUUCCUAAAUGUGGGAAACUUGACUGCAUAAUAUGUGGUAGUGAGGGGCUGCAUUCGCACUCUUCUUAA
rnacentral:snRNA from 1 species